rnacentral:rRNA from 1 species
CGGUGGGAUACCACCCUGGCGAUAUUGAAAUUCUAACCCGCACCCCUUAGCGGGGUGGGAGACAGUGUCAGGCGGGCAGUUUGACUGGGGCGGUCGCCUCCCAAAAGGUAACGGAGGCGCCCAAAGGUUCCCUCAGAAUGGUUGGAAAUCAUUCGGAGAGUGCAAAGGCACAAGGGAGCUUGACUGCGAGACGGACAGGUCGAGCAGGGACGAAAGUCGGGCUUAGUGAUCCGGUGGUUCCGCAUGGAAGGGCCAUCGCUCAACGGAUAAAAGCUACCCCGGGGAUAACAGGCUGAUCUCCCCCAAGAGUCCACAUCGACGGGGAGGUUUGGCACCUCGAUGUCGGCUCAUCGCAUCCUGGGGCUGUAGUCGGUCCCAAGGGUUGGGCUGUUCGCCCAUUAAAGCGGUACGCGAGCUGGGUUCAGAACGUCGUGAGACAGUUCGGUCCCUAUCCGUCGCGGGCGCAGGAAAUUUGAGAGGAGCUGUCCUUAGUACGAGAGGACCGGGAUGGACGCACCGCUGGUGUACCAGUUGUCCCGCCAGGGGCACCGCUGGGUAGCUAUGUGCGGACGGGAUAAGCGCUGAAAGCAUCUAAGCGUGAAGCCCCCCUCAAGAUGAGAUUUCCCACCGCGUCAGGCGGGUAAGAUCCCUCGAAGAUGACGAGGUCGAUAGGUCCGAGGUGGAAGCGUGGCGACACGUGGAGCUGACGGAUACUAAUCGAUCGAGGGCUU